rnacentral:rRNA from 1 species
UACGUAGGGUGCAAGCGUUGUCCGGAAUUAUUGGGCGUAAAGAGCUCGUAGGCGGCUUGUCACGUCGAUUGUGAAAUCCCGAGGCUCAACCUCGGGUCUGCAGUCGAUACGGGCAAACUAGAGUAUUGCAGGGGAGACUGGAAUUCCUGGUGUAGCGGUGAAAUGCGCAGAUAUCAGGAGGAACACCGGUGGCGAAGGCGGGUCUCUGGGCAAUAACUGACGCUGAGGAGCGAAAGCGUGGGGAGCGAACAGG